AUGCAGAUCGCCGCGCUGCUCAUCUGUCUGCUGCUGACCGCGCUGACGUCACAGGUUCAGGCGCAGCCCGAGCGCUGGGAGUUAAACUGGAGGGAAAAGGAUCCAGAGGACACUACUUCCACUUCAUCAGGGGAAGGUGUGUCAAAUGCUGAGAUUUAUGUAAGACCGGAAGUGCUACAACUGCUACGUCUUAGGAACAGACCCAUAAAAAAACACUUCAAUACUGUGCCAGCAUGGGUGCUAGGAAGUGAACAAGCAAAAUCAUCAGUGGUAAUUCUGCUGCCUGAAAGCUCAGCAGAUAAUGAACAGGUUUUUUGAUGUUCAGAUGGACAAUGGAAUUUAUUCUUUCAAAAAUUGUGUCAACAGGAAAUAAAUACCAAGAACAACAGGAAUUUAUAGUACCCUAAAGAAAUAAUAUGCUGCCAUUGAGCAGCUAUAUGUAAUAGGAAUAAUGCACAGAAUAACAGAAAUCAGACUGAAACAUCAUAGUCUUCUGUUGUCAAGCCUCAUCACAGCUCCUCCAAUCCACUUGUAUGAGGUUUUGCUUCUGAGUGGUUGAAAAGAACGAACUGACAAUAUUGAUAAAUUAUGUAUCUAGUCUGACUGUAACUAUUUUUGCAUGCAGUCAUCACUGCUUUCCUUCUUAGUUAUUUAUGAAUUUCAUGUACAAAGCAUAGAUUACAAGUGUGAAUAACUUUUACACACAUAAAAGUGAGUGAGUGAAAGAUGCACUCAAAAUAUGUUGUACAUAUGUUGAGUUGACUUCAAUUCAUUUUUAGCUGUGUUUCUCUGUCACUCUAAUAACCCAUCAUUUUCUUCGUUAUUCAUCCAGUUUCAGCAGUUGCUCCAUUUCUGUUGACCUAGUUAUCAGUUUCAUGUGCAUAUUUCUAAGAGACCUCUCAUGUAAGAAGAGAAAUUUUGAAUGAAUGAUCAUGUGAUACUGGGCAAUAAUCUAAGGAAGUGAACUAAGGUUCUCCCUCAUGUACCUUAUUGAAGUUCUUA